GGUACUUGUGAAAUAGACUAUUCAAAUCUAACAUUGAAACAGGCACGUGAUGAUCCACAUAGAAUCAAUUACCUCUCCGUCCAUCUUGCUCAAAUUCGUGAAGCCAUACAAGAGGGAGUCCUUGUGAAAGGAUACUUUGCUUGGUCUCUUACGGACAAUUUUGAAUGGGACAAAGGCUACACCCAACGAUUUGGGCUAACAUAUAUCGAUUAUGAUGAUGACCUCCAGCGCUAUCCAAAAAAGUCUGCCGAAUGGUUCACUAGGUUUCUUUAUUCCUAAACUGCGUCUCAUUAAAACCGUCCAGCUUCUAUGGGCUGGCUCUAGUUGGGUUUCUUUCUACAAUUGGUUCAUGUUUCAGUGAAGAUUAACUUCCCGUAGUAGUGGUGUGCUGAAAUAAAAGAGUAGCGUUUAAACGUUUAUGA